rnacentral:rRNA from 1 species
AGAGUUUGAUCCUGGCUCAGAACGAACGCUGGCGGCGUGCUUAACACAUGCAAGUCGAACGUGAUCCAGAGCUUGCUCUGGUGAAAGUGGCGCACGGGUGAGUGACGCGUGGAUAACCUGCCCUGGUAUCUGGGAUAACAUCUCGAAAGGGGUGCUAAUACCGGAUAAGCCUACGGGCUCUUCGGAGUCUGCAGGAAAAGGAGGCCUCUAUUUAUAAGCUUCCGUAUCAUGAUGGGUCCGCGUACCAUUAGCUAGUUGGUGGGGUAAUGGCCUACCAAGGCGACGAUGGUUAGCUGGUCUGAGAGGAUGAUCAGCCACACUGGAACUGAGACACGGUCCAGACUCCUACGGGAGGCAGCAGUGGGGAAUUUUGCGCAAUGGGGGAAACCCUGACGCAGCAACGCCGCGUGAGUGAUGAAGGCUUUCGGGUCGUAAAGCUCUGUCAGAGGGGAAGAAAUGGGUCGUGCUAAUAUCGCGACUUCUUGACGGUACCCUCAAAGGAAGCACCGGCUAACUCCGUGCCAGCCGCCGCGGUAAUAC